UGACAAGAAGGAGAGGUUAAACCCGCGUCUGAUGAGGGGAGGGAAGACGCCCUCUUUUGAGAGUUCCUGAGCGUAGAACAGAUGAAGGAUACGUUCAAGGGCUGAACCGUAAGAAAACCCAGGAGCUCCGGAGCUAAAAGCCUGCAAACGUUGCCGUAGAUGAUUAGGUCCCUACGAAAGUCACGCUGCCACAUAGGACCUUGACAGGAGAAAACGGCUGUUUCCCUUUCAGAAACAAAUGUGUCCAGAAAUGUAUUUAUAUUGUGCCACCAAAUGUCACCACUAGUGCAGGGGCUCCCAAACUGUGAUCUCUAGAGGUCUGCAAACUUCAUUCAGGUGGUCCACAGCAUGC